AUUGAACGCUGGCGGCAUGCCUAACACAUGCAAGUCGAACGAGUGGCGGACGGGUGCAUAAUGUCUGGGAAACUGCCUGAUGGAGGUGCAUAACUACUGGAAACGGUAGCUAAUACCUCAUACCAUAAUAUGUGCACAGAUGGGCUUCGCUAGUGGGUGGGGUACCGGAUCACCAAGGAGACGAUUCCUAGCUGGUCUGAGAGGAUGACCAGCCACACUGGAACUGAGACACGGUCGAGACUCCUACGUGAGGCAGCAGUGGGGAAUAUUGCACAAUGGGCGCAAGCCUGAGGCAGCCAUGCCGCGUGUAUGAAGAAGGCCUUCGGGUUGUAAAGUACUUUAAGCGGGGAGGCGUUACCCGCAGAAGAAGCACCGGCUAACUCCGUGCCAGCAGCCGCGGUAAUAC
rnacentral:rRNA from 1 species